CUAAGCAGGAAAUUGGUGCUGAAGUCUGCUUAGAGAAGAGGGCUGCAGAGAUCAUCAGACCCAUGCCUGAGAUUGGAAGAUGGACCACAGACUCUGCAUACUGGGAGAACUUUGUGGCUGGUUGUCUUAUGUUGGAAGGACUUCACCGCCAUCACCCUGAUCCUUCCUUCCAGGGCUGUAUGGAGGUUUUCUGGAAACAAGUCGUUUAAAAACAUAACAAGACAAAACAAAACAAGUAAUAACAAAACCACCGUCUCAACCUUUGAAGGGAUGCACGCACAAUUUCUAGAGAAGGGAAAGUUCGCCCUCUAGUGGCCAAGAGAAAACAGUUCAUGAAAUUGAAGCGUGGAUCCUAUGGUGCUUUUUAAAGAAACUCACCUCUAAGUUAGGACUUUAUUCUGCCCUUUGUGUCGACACUUCCUUACUCAUGGAUCUUGAUCUAGAUACUUCUACUGUUAGUUUAAAAAUUAAUAAUUUUAGUUUUAUAAUAUUAUGCUCUUGUCUAACUUUUUAAAGCAUCGAAAGAAAAAAAUCCAGGUGGAGAACAAUUUAUUCUUACUGGUAUAUUUUUAAAGUCCUAGGUGUGAUGUGAGUGCUAAAUAGAAGCACGCCUUGAUUUACUUUGUUUUGGUUUUAUUUGAAAUUAAAUAGCCCCAAUCAGGAUUAUGAAACGGGGGAGGUAUGGCAUUGGUACCUAGGCCUUGCCUUGCCUUGGACUCACGAUGACUUACAUUGUUUGAAAUGAAUGUGAGUAUAUUUUUGUGAUGCUCUGACCUGAAUGUCACUUACCAUUGCUUCUAGGACACAUCAGUAAAGAUGCAGCAUGUGGGGGGUACAGAAGCCCCGCCCCCAGCAAAUAUGAAAGCGAUUCAUUAUCUUUGUUCUCUAUUUGAGUAUCUCCUUUGAGUUUUCAUUCUUAGCAAACAGACAAAAGAACAACUUAGGCCACCUGCAGGUCUCAAAUGCAUUUGAGCUAGCUCAGCUAGCACACAAGAAGCAAAUGUCAAGAAUUCAGGUACAUCUCAACUCUUGGUACAUCAUUUCUACUUUCUGAUGGAUUGCUCCCGGGUUUCCUUCUGUCAUGACAGAAGGGCCCGAGGGGACUCAGCUCAUGAUCCUAGCCAGGGCAUUGAGGGAGAGUGGGUUCCUGGUGUUUUUUUGUUUGUUUGUUUUUUGUUUUGUUUUUUGUUUUUUUUUUUAAUCUCUUCUAGAGUCUAGCAAUAGGAUAGGGAUUAUUUUUCAACAGUGUAAUUCUCCAUUACAGGAGUCAUGGUUGAGGUCUUGUUCUACGGGAGAGCCUGGCUGCAGUCAUGCGCAUUAAGCUGACAUUUACUUUGGUGUGGAUGCCCCAGCCUACUCCUGAUCCCUGGAAUUCUAACCAUUGGUGAUGUACAUCGGUGCAAGAAUCAUUUCUCACCCCCUGUAAGAUACACAUAUGGGACCUGGGGCAUGCAAGCUACCUUUUGCUCAAACAGCCUGAUUAACAUAAGGAGACGGUGCAACAGGUCAUUGCACUGUUCUAAUCUGUCUGCAUUAUGUCAAAAGCUAGGUGUUGAUGUAGUCCAGGGGACAACCUUUCCACAUGCAUGUUCUCUGCUGCUAAACUGCAAACUAUAUUUUACCUCCUUUUUGGAUAGAAAUAAACAAUUUCACCAAAUCCAUGGCCACACUCUAUGUGACAAAGCUACCCUAUCUAGCAAUCAAGGCUGAGCUUACAGUGGUCUGUGGUUGUCCUCAGGACUGAUUCUUCUGUACUCAGGUCUGAUCAGGACUCUGAUCUUACAUCCUCUUGAUCGGUCUGUAGGCAGGUCAUGCAUGUUCUCUGUCAAUAGGGAUGCAGUUAUUUUCUUCUUAAUUAAUUAGUUAUCCUGGCCAAACUGUGUCUGUUUCGGAGACCCUCUUCAUCUUCAUUUUGAUAACUCUUGCUCUAUGGAAUAACCCGCCAACAUCCAAGCAUAUUGAUUUAAACAUUAUCUUUGGCACAAGACAACUGUACUAAGUGGCUCUAUGGACUCACUGUGACUCUCUAAAUUCCAGACAUGCUGGAGACUGCUAGGUUGACAUGGCUUCCAUGUGCCCUCAUUCUAGCUUACUAGAAAGCCUGAUGGUGCUUUGGGCAUUGGGGAUUGUUGCUAACUCUGAGACUGUAUGAUGUCACCCUUGAGAUGUCCGAGCAGUGUACAUCCUCCACUGCACAGUUACUCAUGCAAGUGACACCGGUUUCCUUCAUAAUGGGGCUGCAGACACUCUACACUGUACUAUCGGAAGGAUAGUGUGAUGCCCAUUUUUGCUCAUUAACUGGUGGAUCUCUCAUGUCUGAAAGCUGGCUCACAUUGGAAUCUGUGAAAGAGAUUGCUGCCACUUGUUGGGAAUGACUGCUCCUGGCUGCCUGGCCGCCUUUGAUUUUUUUUUUUUUUUUUUUUUUUUGGCUGGAAUAAACUGAGUAGUAUCCCUUCAACUGUCCACCCAUUCAUCCCCCAGAGCUACCACAGCCUCUUAAUCAUCACUGGUCCCUUGGCUGACAUUCAAACCCUGAUGGUCCCCCUGUCAGGAAUCCCCAGAUGUGACAUUUGAGGCUGUGACAUUUGAGCCUCUUGCUUUUGCUUCCUGUUAUCUAAUUGCUGUUGAUGAGUGAAGCUCUCUGACGGCCUCUUGUACUUCCAGCCUGCGAAGGACCUCCUUAGCGAUACAGAGGCAACCCUUACAGCAGGGUCCCAUGGCUUUGCUGCAAUGCUCAUUAUGGCUAUGGGCCUUCCAGUGAAUCCUCAUCACAGCCAGGUCUUCCGCUCUGCACAGAAAAAUCCAUCCUGCCACGUGCACUUUUCUGAGCUGUUCACCCCCUACCUCCUGUAUCAGAAGUAAUCUUUGACAUAGGCUGUGGCUUUCUCCAUGCCGUUAGGAGCACACAAACCAUGAGUUAGCUCUCUGGCAUCACUGUUGGAUAUUAAAUCCUAUCUCUUGGGAUUUCAGCCUCAUUUGAAACAACAGAUUCAUCUUCACCCAGUUUUACAUCUGCUUCCCUUAAGGAAGCAUGCCGACUCCCUUAGACCAUGGCUCUUUUCUUCCUUAUCAUGCCAGCAUUCCUCUGGGUGAGUGAUGCUGAGACAUAAUCCCCUCUAUAAAUCUGGAAGGAUCAUGCAAGAGCGAGUGCCUGUUGCCUCUCUUUCCAGCACAAUCUCUGUGGGCUUGUCUUGCCCUCCUAGAUUUGGUGGGGGACUGGCUCUACGCAUCUAUAACCUCAUUCCUAGCAUACUUUGUUAUAUUUUACAUUUUUCUGUGAUAGGCAAGAGGCAUGGUGCAUUGGGUAGGAACAUGCUCAGUUGUGCCCAUCAAUGUGUUCUACGUGUACAGUUGCAUGUCUGACACAGAUAUUACUUAUAUGUAGCUGUCUAUAAAGAAGGCUGGCAUGCAGUUAAUAUUUGCUCUUGUUUACUUCCUGCUUAAGCCCUGCCCCCUGCACAUGUACCUUCUUGUUUUAUCCUCACUUCUAUCACUGGAGACAAGUACUAGCAUCCUACAGAUUGGAUAGCUCUUCCUUCUCUCACAUCCCUUCAGCAUCCCAUACAUUUCUUACAACAAUUGCUUUAUUCACUUUGAAUGACUUUCCACGUAGGCUUGGAGAUCCACAUGUGUUGGCAGUCACUAAAAUCCAAUAUUUGUUUUGUGUGUAUACUCAUGACUAAACGACUAUAUAAAAUAAACCUCACAAAAUUAACUAGAGUGGCUUAGAGCACUUGGCAAUUUUGUUCUGUGAUGGCCAUAUUCCAUUAGAUAUUGUUUUUCCACUCACGCAUUCCCUUACAGAAAGGUCUGCCAGCGCUUUGCAUCUGGCGUGUGCGAGCUAUUACUGUACUCAUGCCACUAAUUGUCUCUGAUUGGUCAACAAGUAACAUAUCUUAUGGAUGGGGAUUGCACAGCUCUGUAUCACACAGGGAGCAUGCUUCCUCUUUGUGAGCUAUCCCCUCUUGCCAAUGUAAAUCAAUUCUCUGUGUCUGUCAAAUGGCAGCACAUUCCAGUGAUUAACAGCCUGGUGUUAAUGUGAUAAAGGAAAUUAAUUUUAGAUGUGUUUGGAGUUUCCAAGUAAUCUGUGUAAAAAUAAGAUCCUGCUGUGAGUCAACUAUUUCCUACCAAUCUGAAAUAUGCUGGCCCAGAAAGUGUGUUAUUGGCACAUCUAUCACAGAUCACAGCUCAUUAUUUCAAGGGCUGACAAGCGUCUCCUUGCACAUUUAUUAGGGAACUGAGCCUUAAUCAUAUCUGUGGCUUUAAGAGAUCCUGUCCUAGUAGAUUUGUGUCAUUUUUUUUUAAAGCAGAAGAGUUUUAAAAGGAAGAAAUGUCCCAGACCCAGGACUGAAAGGAUGAUAAUUUUAUGGAGUAUUUAAAAAGAGUUAUAAGGACUCACCUACAUAAAGAAGAUGGAUCCUAUUUUAUUUUUAUGUCCUGAUGAGCAAACUCAUUUCUUUUUAUUCCAUUCAGUAGUUCUAAGCAUAGCUGUAGCCCGAGCUUGUAAAACUCCCUGUCUCCUAGAAAUUUCAUAACCUUUGUUUUUGCUUUGGUUCAGUUCCAUUUUUAUU